rnacentral:snRNA from 2 species
AUACCUUUCUCGGCCUUUUGGCUAAGAUCAAGUGUAGUAUCUGUUCUUAUCAGUUUAAUAUCUGAUAUGUGGGCCAUCGGCCCACUCGAUAUUAAUCUUAUUUUUUAUGGGGAAAGACCCAUCACAAUAGCUUGCUAUUGGGGUCUUUAAGCGUCGCCUUGGUGUUGCACUACUGCCUUGGCCUGGCGCACCCCUC